rnacentral:piRNA from 1 species
UAGGUCCCAGGAGCGCCAAGGUAGUGCCGU